rnacentral:lncRNA from 1 species
AGAGGCUUCUUUUCUGUGGGCGUGGCCAAGGCAGCGGGGGUUUAUGACAAAGUUGAGCGACCUCAUGUCACUCAAACCAGCUGUAUUAAGGAAGGUGCAAGCUUUUGGGAUUUCUGUUUGGAUUUAGUUUAGGUUCAAAAGAGCACGCACAGAUCCUGAGUGUUGUCAAGCACCCGUGACUGGGAAACGGAGGCGUCCGAUCCGUAUUGGAGUCAAUUCGCCACUUAAUUGAACACAGCCUCGAAGGGAAGGGCCAUAUUUGUGGGCCUGUCUAACAAUUAAGAGUGACCACAUGGAAUGGGGGAUGAAAGGGUUAAAGAAGAACAAAUAUUGAACACAGCUUUUCUAUGAACAAACUGCAGGCAGCUGCUGCUUUGCAAGGGAAGCAGUUGAUUGAGAAUAAUGGUUCUGUUUUGGAGGUUGAUGGAAGAUGCCCUUUGGCCAGGAAAACAGCUCAUGCUUUUAGAGGAGGAUAAUUGCCAGAAGGCCUCUCUGAAUAAAAAAAAAUCCUGACCUCACAGCCUUUGCGCUUACUUGGGUUAGAAUGCCACAGUGAACAUUGCCCCUUGUCAUCACGUAGAGGUGCUCACAGGUAAAGCAACACAAGGAGCAUAUAGGAUCACCUGCUGGAUCUUGUUUUUAACACCAGGGAGGAAAAUGGUGUCUUGGGUAAUGAACAUGCCUCAAGACUGAGCUGGCCAUCUUCAGUGUCAUCCAAACCCUCAGUGGCCCCUGAAAAACCCUUUGAAAAGAUUCAGCACGUUGCCAUGGAGAACAUCCCACUGAAGGAAUGUAUAGAAGUAGCAGGUGUCAGCUGCCUACCAGUUGCUUUCAUCUCUAGAAAUCUGUGACUUGCAGUAUGACAAGAACAAAAGGUGACAAUACAAAGGACAAAGGGCAAGGAAUACAGACGGAGAAGCCGCUUAGAGUCUAGGAUGGCAGAGGUUCUCUUGAUCAUUUCAUUUUUGAGCGCUUGUAGAGCUUUGGUGUACCAGAGGUGCUUGAACAGCUUACCACACCACAGAUGAAUGGCCUUUGGAUUUCUCCUAAGAAAAUGUGGCUACCUGAAAUUCAACUCCAUUUUCUGGUCUUCAAUAUUUCUUUUGUGUUCAGUUUGCCAGCUGAGGAGAAGUGGCUAAGCAUAGCCUGUUACUGAUGCUAAAGCCCAAGUUCUGAACCUAACAACUCCAGCAACAUGAUCCUGUUUCAAGAGACAAAAAAGUGACUAAUGAAAGAAAACAAUUGAUGUGCUAUGUAGAGUUUAAAAGAAGGUAAAGAGAAUAAAUUAAAAGCAACAACUCUCUUCUUGACAA